UCUCAGGAUUGUCCGGUGAAAAUGUUGGG
rnacentral:sRNA from 1 species